rnacentral:rRNA from 1 species
UACGAAGGGGGCUAGCGUUGUUCGGAAUUACUGGGCGUAAAGCGCGCGUAGGCGGUUUUGUAAGUCGGGUGUGAAAUCCCCGGGCUUAACCUGGGAAUGGCAUUCGGGGACUGCAAGGCUGGAGUGCGGCAGAGGAGACUGGAAUUCCUGGUGUAGCAGUGAAAUGCGUAGAUAUCAGGAGGAACACCGAUGGCGAAGGCAGGUCUCUGGGCUGACACUGACGCUCAUGCACGAAAGCGUGGGGAGC